AGAGUUUGAUCCUGGCUCAGGACGAACGCUGGCGGCGUGCUUAACACAUGCAAGUCACGGGGGCCCGCAAGGGCAACCGGCGAACGGGUGCGUAACACGUGAGCAACCUGCCUAGGUGAGGGGGAUAGCCGGCCCAACGGCCGGGUAAUACCGCAUACGCUUCAUGAGGGGAUUCCCUUGUGAAGGAAACCUCCGGGGCACUUAGAGGGGCUCGCGGCUUAUCAGCUAGUUGGCGAGGUAACGGCCCACCAAGGCUACGACGAGUAGCUGGUCUGAGAGGAUGGCCAGCCACAUUGGGACUGCGACACGGCCCAGACUCCUACGGGAGGCAGCAGUGGGGAAUCUUGCGCAAUGGGCGAAAGCCUGACGCAGCGACGCCGCGUGGAGGAUGAAGCUUUUCGGAGUGUAAACUCCUGUUGCUCGGGACGAAUCCCUGGAUCUUCCAGGUUGACGGUACCGAGUGAGGAAGCACCGGCUAACUCCGUGCCAGCAGCCGCGGUAAUACGGAGGGUGCGAGCGUUGUCCGGAAUCACUGGGCGUAAAGGGCGCGUAGGUGGCUUGGUAAGCGUGCGGUGAAAGCUCGGGGCUCAACCCCGAGUCUGCCGUGCGAACUGCCGAGCUUGAGCAUCGUAGAGGCAGGUGGAAUUCCGGGUGUAGCGGUGGAAUGCGUAGAGAUCCGGAAGAACACCGGUGGCGAAGGCGGCCUGCUGGGCGAUAGCUGACACUGAGGCGCGACAGCGUGGGGAGCAAACAGGAUUAGAUACCCUGGUAGUCCACGCCGUAAACGAUGGGCACUAGGU
rnacentral:rRNA from 1 species